UAAAUACAUGGGAAAAGUGCUCC
rnacentral:piRNA from 2 species